UCCCUGGUGGCUCAGAUGGUAAAGCAUCUGCCUGCAAUGCAGGAGACCCAGGUUCGAUCCCCAGGUCAGGAA
rnacentral:tRNA from 1 species